ACUUUUCCCAAUUUCUUUACCUGAUAAGGUACGAGACAUCUAUGAGCAAUUUGUUAACUCUAAUAAAUCCUUAAAGGAUGAAAGAUUAUUAUUUACUAUCCUGUACAAGGUUCCUUGGAUAGUUCGUUGGGAUUAUAUUAUCUCAGCUAAAAAAUAUAAAAAUUUUCUGAGUUCUCAAUAGAACAUAUUCUCUAGCUAACUAGACGAGUUCUAAUUAAAUGGUGGGACAAAUGUGAAUUCAUCCAAGGGAUUGAUCUAUUUGGCUAAAAAGCCGACCGCACCCAUUCCAUCUCCAACAACAAAUUUGACCGAUCUAUUUAGAGACCUACUGAAGUCGGUGCCAAAAGAAGAACUAAGGAAAUAACUUUUCAGUGCACUAGCAGAAGGCAGCGAGGCUUCCAACUCAAAAGCAAAAGAGAAGGAUGAUAGCGACAGCGACACUGACAUAGAAGG
rnacentral:misc_RNA from 1 species